AAUGUAGGCGGUUUUGUAAGUCAGGGGUGAAAUCCCUCAGCUUAACUGAGGAAGUGCCUUUGAAACUGCAUAACUAGAGGACAGGAGAGGAAAGUGGAAUUCCCGGUGUAGCGGUGGAAUGCGUAGAUAUCGGGAGGAACACCAGAGGCGAAGGCGGCUUUCUGGACUGAUCCUGACGCUGAGAUUCGAAAGCUAGGGGAGCAAACAGGAUUAGAUACCCUGGUAGUC
rnacentral:rRNA from 1 species